UACGUAGGUGGCAAGCGUUGUUCGGAAUUACUGGGCGUAAAGCGUGCGCAGGCGGUUUUGUAAGCCAGAUGUGAAAUCCCCGGGCUUAACCUGGGAAUGGCAUUUGGGACUGCAAGGCUCGAGUGCGGCAGAGGAGACUGGAAUUCCUGGUGUAGCAGUGAAAUGCGCAGAUAUCAGGAGGAACACCGAUGGCGAAGGCAGGUCUCUGGGCCACUACUGACGCUGAGAAGCGAAAGCAUGGGGAGCGAACAGG
rnacentral:rRNA from 1 species